rnacentral:rRNA from 1 species
AAAGAAAGAGUGAGGCAUGCCUAACACAUGCAAGUCGAACGAGACCUUCGGGUCUAGUGGCGCACGGGUGCGUAACGCGUGGGAACCUGCCCUUAGGUUCGGAAUAACUCCCCGAAAGGGGUGCUAAUACCGGAUAAUGUCUUCGGACCAAAGAUUUAUCGCCUUUGGAUGGGCCCGCGUUGGAUUAGCUAGUUGGUAGGGUAGAAGCCUACCAAGGCGACGAUCCAUAGCUGGUCUGAGAGGAUGAUCAGCCACACUGGGACUGAGACACGGCCCAGACUCCUACGGGAGGCAGCAGUGGGGAAUAUUGGACAAUGGGCGAAAGCCUGAUCCAGCAAUGCCGCGUGAGUGAUGAAGGCCUUAGGGUUGUAAAGCUCUUUUACCCGGGAUGAUAAUGACAGUACCGGGAGAAUAAGCUCCGGCUAACUCCGUG